CUAAGAAUCAAGGAAUUACAUGAAAGGUGUGUCACGAGCAGCCUGAGAUGUUUUGGCAGGAGGGUGGCAGUUAAACAUAGAAUUUAUAGUUUUAAAAAGACUUGGCCGUCUCUUGCCACUUAAUAGCUAAAGUAGUCGGGGUAGGUGAUUUCUUCAUCUCUAAGACAGAUAAGUUUAUCUCAUGAAGAGGAUUAAAUACGGAGUAUUUAGGUUAAGGGUUUAGCACAGGACUUGAAAUCUAAAUAUGGAGAACAUGGUAGUUAUCGGCGGCAUUACGACCAGUGAAAUCCACCCUACAUGGCUUUCCCCUAGACAUCUCUUGCAACUUUUAUGUAUGUUUCAACAUACUCGGAAUAAAACAUCAGGAUAUGAAUAAAAAACCAACUAAAUGAGGCCUUCGAGAAACAUCAAAGGGAGUUCCCGUCAUAGCUCAAUGGUUAAUGAACCUGACCUAGCAUCCAUGAGGACUCGGGUUUGAUCCCUGGCCUCGCUCAGUGGGUGCAGGAUCCAGCGUUGCUGUGAGCUGUGGUGUAGGUUGCAGAUAUGGCUUUGAUUCCAAGUUGCUGUGGCUGUGGCACUGACCUGUGGCUACAGCUCCAAUUCAACCCCUAGAAUGAAAACCUCCAUCAUAUAAAAAGUUUUCCAAUACUUGAUGCAUAUACUCUUCGCACACAUAUCUUGCUCACCACAAAGUGUUUUUUGUUUGUUUUGGCCAUGCCCACAGCAUGCAGAAGUUCCUGAGCCAGGGAUUGAACCCUCACCAUAGCAAUGACAACACAAAAUCUUUAAUUGCCAGGCCACCCAGCAUCUCCCACCAGCAUGUUCUACAGGAAGGAUAAGUGUGCUCUGCUUGGCUGGAAAGGUCAUACCACUUCUGAACAAUAGGGGUGAACUUGAUAGUCUUGAACAUUCUUGCCUUUGCUUUUACCAGGGCCUAUUUCAGGAACUCUCCAGAGGACCGGAUCCAGCUUGUGUCUUGGCCAAAUGUUUUCUGUAUUUUCCUAUGUAUCCAUUAAAAACAGUUGUCUUGAAAGUUUUUCAUUCCUGUGUGGAAAAAUCCAUCUAGAUUCUUUGUCAAAGAGACUUCUAGCAGCUUGAAGCAGCCCUUGGUGGACCAGGGUGGCUCCAGCCUCUGUGCAGGGAACACAGCUGUAGUCUCUUUGGAAGGUAGGUGUGUGUGUGUGUGUGUGUGUGUGUGUGUGUGUGUGUGUGUGUGUGUGUGUGUGUGUGUGUGUGUGUGUGUGUGUUGGGUAUUGUGGGAGGGGCCCCAGGGGGCUUGCUUGGCAAGGACUCAGGGAAGCUCUAGGGAGUGGCUUUUGAUGAUUCAUUGGAAAGUUCGAGAAACUGCGAUCAAAUUGCCAAUGCUAUAGAAAUAGUAUUACUAAUGGGCAACAUUGCUAGCCUGUUAACCAUCAGUUAGAUGGUGUCCUAGGCACUUUUUAUAUAUCAACACAUUAAAAAUGAAAUCAAAGUCAGCAUCCCAAAAUCCAAGCCCUGAUUUGGUUCAGUGGAAGACACACUGAGCACAAGUUCAAGUGCAGACAGGGUAGUUAAAGGGAAGGAGCACGGGAUGGCGCGAAAGCAGAUGUGACUUCUAAAUUCUGCCAUUAAGUGGUUCUAGGCAUCACUCCUCUUCUGCAAAAUUUCAUCAUGGGCAAAUGCAGAAAUUUUCAUUUGGAAAAACAGCACUGAACUGGAACUAGGGGGUGGACACUGAGACUGUGAUUGCUAGUGGAUCUGGAACAUAUGUGUAGGCUUCCUAUUCCUCUGGGCAUUCCCCUUCGCCUCCCUCUUUCUCUCCUUCCUGCCCUCCCUUGUCUCCUUAUAGAAGGGAAAUCAGAUGUGCAUUCAAGUCUUUAAAAAAGAGGGACUUUGCUCACUAAUCUGUCUAUUCUCUGUAUAAAAUACAAGUAGAGAUACACUGAAAUGCAUAAUUCAGAGUGGUUGACAAAAACCAUGCCAUUCUGGAAAAAUACAUUCAAUUCAUCUUAAUUUCCCCAAAGUAUAACCAGAUUAAAUGCUAGCACAUAUACAUGUCAACAAGAAAAUUAUUAAUUUUUUAUGUCCUAACCGAUGUUUGAAUGAUCAAUAAACCAUGACCUUCAUCAUGGCAAAACAAAGAUGAUUCAGACAAGUGUCUCAUAUGUUAGGUUGUUAUGGCUGGUUUUUUCCUUUUAAUUUUCUUAUAAUAAAGUAUAAUUGUCCUUGUUCCCAUUUUAUAAGCACUGAAUAUCCCAGUUCAGACUUCGUUCCUUCUCUCCAAUAUUAUCUUUAAUAAUCUCAUGAUACUGCAAUAAGUAAUGUUGAAAGAUGACUAAUAAAAAAGUAAAUUUCAAUGUGCUAUAAUUAGAAUUCUUAAAAAAAAUGAAGUGCGAUAAUUAAGGGCUUGUUCUUUACAGCGAUUAUAAACAUAAAUAGAAUUUCCUCUGGCUUUGGGAUAUAUUCUGCUGGAACAGUACUGCUGUCAGAAAUGCAAACAGCUGAAAGAACAAACAUCGACUUUACCUACUGUUCUAUAAAUAAGGUCAAACUGCACUGUUGGGGGGGGGGGGAAACACAGCCCAUACGUUAGGUACCACCAUUUGCUGGGUACAGUUAUAUGACUGACCUGUAUAAAUGUGUUCUGUUUUUGCUGUUGACACUUUUAUAAAUAUAAAGAACUCGCUGAAUAAAUCCUGCUAUAUAUCUCUUUGUAUCAAAAUGGAACACUCCACUGUUGUGAAAUCUGGCAGAUAAUAAAAAUAGCCUACUUUUUAUUCGAUUUUUUUCCAACUAUGGGAACACAAUGGUUUAAUAGUAACUAAGCAUGCUUCCAAAAGCAAACUCUUUAAAACUGUAUUAGAAAAAUGUAUAAAACAAACAGCUUUGUUUCUUAUCCCAAACCAAAGUUGUCUUUUUCUGAAGCCCUUUCCAAAAAUUAGUGGAUAUAUUUUUUUAAAAAUGUCCAUCAGGUAAUAUGUAGGGUUCUGCACAGUAACUGCUAACACCAUCUGGGAGUGUCAAGAGAUCUGAACAUCUACCUGAACCUUUUAAUUAUGGAUGGCAACACAAAUGGGCAUUGCAGGACUCUCACAAGACUUUAGUGAUGAUUGUACCAACAGUGAAACAAGUUAAAUUUACCCUUUUAGCAGGUUUACACAACCAUCUUAUUGUAAGACAAAACACACUAAAACAAAAGUGACCCCAAGCAAGAAGACCCUGGAGAAACAUACAUAAGAAACAAGAAACUCAGGAAGUGGAAGGUCACUAUUGGAUGGGCAUGGACAAGUUCAGUGGUGCUGUGGCUGUGAUGUUAUGCAAGCCAGGGGACAGGCUCAGUCAGCAGCCAGAGUGGCCAGAGGGAGCCCAGACAGACAGCCAGAACAACCAUCUACUCUGCUCUCCUCCAGCUUGAAAUCCACCAGCCACUUGUUGAAAUGGAUCAGUUGCUCUGGCAUCACAUUUAAGGCUCCUCUGGGGUUUCAAGAACCAGGGGACAUUUGCCUUGAUGUUACCAACCCCUGGCCCCCCCCUUUCCUAACACCUACCCUUCUUACUACCGCAUCAUCGAGCUCGAUGAAAAUGAAACUAACAGCAGCCUAGUACACUGAUUUUCCUCCCAAGGAAGCAAAUUCUUGUGAACAUCUUACCAAAACCUAACUGAGAGGGGAAGCUUGCUGAAAGCACUGGUUUUAUGAUACGCUUGAUUUCUUGCAGGCUCAGGCAGGGAGAUCACGGGUCUUUGGAAUCAGAUUUAAUCAAGUGAGUGGCCCUAGGCUUCUCUCCAUCAGCAUCAGAACUCCAAGUGGGCACCCACGUGAAGCACCCCCAUUUAGUCAUUUAAAAUUUUAACUCAUUACAACUUUAGAUCCCUCCUUCAGAAAUCUCCCAAGUCUGAGAAGAGACUUGGCCCAGCCAAUCUCAGAGGGCUGAAUGGUUUGCUGGACUUUCAGGGCUUACUGAUGAGUAACAGUGUUAAUAUGUUAAGUUUAUCAGUUUGCGUAAAAAAGAUUUCCUCUCUCACCUACAAGCAUUGCUUAGCAUUAGCAAAGACUAUGGACCCUGUGUCUACUGCUGGUGUUUUGAAUAUUAGAUCCCUGGUAACCUGUACUUCAGCUCUUCAUUUGCUAGGCCAGAGGGUAGUAAGAGUACCUCACCAGCUCUGUAAGGCAGGAUGAAAGAACACAUGUAAUCACUCAGAAGAAUACCAGGAACAGAGCAGGCACUCAAUAAAUAUUAGCCUUGAUAAUUAAUCCAUAAGGAAUUGAGCAGAAAUUCCUGUUCUCAAUCUUUUGGGUAGGAAUAAUACCAAACCAUGCAAUGAUUUGAGUCUGACUAUUAAAACAAAUAAACCAACCAACAAACAAAAAAACAUGAAUAGUGCAUCUCAUUUUAGAUUACCUAACACACAAUUUUCAAACCUAACUCAGACCAGCUCUGGAUGUCCUUGACCCAAGAAACAUAACCAAGUGUUUGACAGGUGUGGUCACACCUUGAGAUUUUCAGUCCUUAUGUUUUCAUGCACUUUCAGGAGAGCAGGCAUUUUCCUCCAUCAGAACAUUGACAUGCCACAUCCUUUACUGAUUAUCGCCUCAAGAAACCCAGCUCCUUCCCAACAUCCUACUGUCCCAAGAGGUUUCAAGAGAACUUGCCACUUAAGAUUAUUUUUCCCCAGGGUGAUCAAGUUGAAAAUUUAAACAAUUACUUGGUCUAUUAGGAAAAGCACAUGAAAACUACCUGUUUAAUCAAGGGGAACAUGUUUUUAUUCUUAGAUAUCUAAUUAGUCCAUCCUCUCAGUUUUGGAUGGUGUGCAUACAAGUCAACAAUCUAGGUCAAUAAUUAGCUUCCUUUUAAAGACGUGAACUCUUUAUGGGAACAGAAAUCAAACCAAAGGAUACUGAUACUCAGACCAGAAACCAUAACUGAAUAAGGAGAUGGGUGGUUUACGUAUAUUAGUUCCCAUAUAUAGGUAGAAUGCAUCUAUUUGUCAAAUCAGUUAGAAGUCUUUUUGUUCUAACUUAAUACCCAUCAGUUUAAAAAUCUAUUUAAAAAAAAUCCAUAUCUUCGUUCCUUUUAAAUCUGGAAUAAACUAGGUCACCGACACCGUGAUCUUAGGUCAGACAGAAUCUGGUAUGAAUGAACUUCCAUCACUUAAGUAACAGAAGAACUCAGUUUGCUUCUACAUUUGAAAGUAGGACCAUUCUUACAGAUAAAAUCAAGAAUCUUUAUAAACCACAGCAAGUAGCCUCCCUUCUCUUUUUUCCCAACAGUAAACAGUUCCCAUUUUUCUUUAUAUUGUUUUAUUUCUAGGAUAUUACUAGUUAAAUGUUUGCUUCAACAAAACUUUUGUGUUGUUAUCUGUUUGUAUCAUAACUUUGGAGGAAUAACAUGAUACAUUCCACUUACAGCAAGUGCAGACACAACCUACCAAUCUAGCUAUUUUGUUCCCCAAAGUGUGAGGAUAAUAUCUAAGUGAGAGAGCUUUUCUCACACUUUGAUUUUAUUCUCACAUUUUUAACGUCAGACUUGUAUUUCUACAUUUCAAAAAAUAAAACCAACCACCAAAACCUAAAAUCAGGUAGCUACAAAACACUGACACAUCCUUAUGCUUUGCCUGGCACCAGGUAAGUGGAGAGCAGGACGAUUAGAACCCUGUGUGAGGAACUAAGAGACAGAUGAAAGUACAAACUGACCCACUGGACAACCCAAGGGAUGCCAAGAAACAACCCUGGGAAGAAUGAACACAUCAUUCAGAAUGAACAACAGAGACAACCUCAUUUGUACCACUAAGAUCUUGACUUAACCGGCCAUGUCUCUGCUACCUCUGAAACAAUAGUAAAACUAUUCCAUGGUUGUGUAUAUAGGUUGGGUGAAGCAGUAAAAAACUGAGGCUGGCUGGGGGUUGGUUGGUACAAAAAGCUUAUGGAUCCUCAAAAGCCAAGAAAAGAGACUACCCAAAGGUCUAUGGUACAUGUUUUAAGUGUUUUUAUCACCUGUCUUCCUUUAUAGGGACUGACCUGGAUUUAAAUCUAGUACCCCACUUCCCAAAUUUAUUCUCCAGUUCUUGAAAGGGUGUGCAAGAUUUCCUAGCCAUACAAGUUCAGAAUCCAUGGUUCUUGUUAUUGUUUUCUCCACCUCCAGAUAUCUUACCCUUCCCCUGGAAAUACCUAUCCAGAAUAACAAUGUAUACUUUCUUUAUUGCCCUCUUUCAUACCAUGUGACACUGGAUGGGCACUGUCAACCAGCUAUUACCCUAGAGA
rnacentral:lncRNA from 1 species